rnacentral:rRNA from 1 species
GGGAGGCAGCAGUAAGGAAUAUUGGUCAAUGGACGCAAGUCUGAACCAGCCAUGCCGCGUGAAGGAUGAAGGUCCUCUGGAUUGUAAACUUCUUUUAUAUGGGAAGAAACCACUUUUUUCUAAAGGUGUUGACGGUACCAUAGGAAUAAGCACCGGCUAACUCCGUGCCAGCAGCCGCGGUAAUACGGAGGGUGCAAGCGUUAUCCGGAUUUAUUGGGUUUAAAGGGUGCGUAGGCGGAUUAGUAAGUCCGUGGUGAAAUCUCCGAGCUUAACUCGGAAACUGCCGUGGAUACUAUUAAUCUUGAAUACUGUGGAGGUUAGCGGAAUAUGUCAUGUAGCGGUGAAAUGCAUAGAUAUGACAUAGAACACCAAUUGCGAAGGCAGCUGGCUACACAGAGAUUGACGCUGAGGCACGAAAGCGUGGGGAUCAAACAGGAUUAGAUACCCUGGUAGUCCACGCCCUAAACGAUGAAUACUCGACGUGUGCGAUACACAGUACGUGUCUAAGCGAAAGCGUUAAGUAAUCCACCUG